rnacentral:rRNA from 1 species
AAUUAACCAAGACAAGCCCACUAACAACUUGUCCGCCAGAGAAUUACGGGCGAAAGCCUAAAACUCAAAAGACUUGACGGUGUCCCAAUUCUACCUAGAGGAGCCUGUUUCAUAAUCGAUAACCCCCGCUCAACCUGACCGUCCCUCGCACAACCCCCAGCCUAUAUACCGCCGUCUUUUUCCUGCUUACCUUUUGAAAGAAAUUAUAGUAAGCCCAAUAGUUUUUAUAACUAAAAAGUCAGGUCAAGGUGUAGCUUAUGGGGCGGAGAAAAUGGGCUACAUUUUCUAUUAAAGAACACCACGGAAAAUACUCUGAAAUAAAGUACUCAAAGGUGGAUUUAGCAGUAAGCCAAACCAGAGUGUUUGACUAAAACAAGCUCUGGGACAUG